rnacentral:sRNA from 2 species
GAAGGAUGAGAAGCUUCUACCAGGGUUCGAUUCGAGCGCAGCGAGAAAGCGUUGCCGCAGGCAACGACCCGAAGGGCGAAGCGCGCAGCGCUGAGUCAUCCUUCCCCCACCACCA